rnacentral:rRNA from 3 species
CAAGACCUUGCGCUUUUGGAGCGGCCGAUGUCUGAUUAGCUAGUUGGUGAGGUAAAGGCUUACCAAGGCUUCGAUCAGUAGCUGGUCUGAGAGGACGACCAGCCACACUGGGACUGAGACACGGCCCAGACUCCUACGGGAGGCAGCAGUGGGGAAUUUUGGACAAUGGGGGAAACCCUGAUCCAGCCAUGCCGCGUGAGUGAAGAAGGCCUUCGGGUUGUAAAGCUCUUUCAGCCGGAACGAAAAGGUUACGGUUAAUACCCGUGACUAAUGACGGUACCGGAAGAAGAAGCACCGGCUAACUACGUGCCAGCAGCCGCGGUAAUACGUAGGGUGCGAGCGUUAAUCGGAAUUACUGGGCGUAAAGCGUGCGCAGGCGGUUUUGUAAGUCAGAUGUGAAAUCCCCGGGCUCAACCUGGGAACU